ACGCUCGACACCUACGGGACAGCAGUAGGGAAUCUUCCACAAUGGACGCAAGUCUGAUGGAGCAACGCCGCGUGAGUGAAGAAGGUCUUCGGAUCGUAAAACUCUGUUGUUAGAGAAGAACACGAGUGAGAGUAACUGUUCAUUCGAUGACGGUAUCUAACCAGCAAGUCACGGCUAACUACGUGCCAGCAGCCGCGGUAAUCUGAGCGGGCUGGCAAGGC
rnacentral:rRNA from 1 species